UUCGGAAUUACUGGGCGUAAAGGGCUCGUAGGUGGCCAACUAAGUCAGACGUGAAAUCCCCAGGCUCAACUUGGGAACUGCGUCUGAUACUGGAUGGCUUGAAUUCGGGAGAGGGAUGCAGAAUUCCAGGUGUAGCGGUGAAAUGCGUAGAUAUCUGGAGGAAUACCGGUGGCGAAGGCGGCAUCCCGGACCGAGAUUGACACUGAUGAGCGAAAGCUAGGGGAGCAAACGGG
rnacentral:rRNA from 1 species